rnacentral:rRNA from 1 species
CGCCAGACUCCUACGGGAGGCAGCAGUGGGGAAUAUUGGGCAAUGGGCGCAAGCCUGACCCAGCAACGCCGCGUGAAGGAAGAAGGCUUUCGGGUUGUAAACUUCUUUUGACAGGGAAGAGCAGAAGACGGUACCUGUCGAAUAAGCCACGGCUAACUACGUGCCAGCAGCCGCGGUAAUACGUAGGUGGCAAGCGUUGUCCGGAUUUACUGGGUGUAAAGGGCGUGUAGCCGGGCUUACAAGUCAGAUGUGAAAUCCGGGGGCUCAACCCCCGAACUGCAUUUGAAACUGUAGGUCUUGAGUAUCGGAGGGGCAGGCGGAAUUCCUGGUGUAGCGGUGAAAUGCGUAGAUAUCAGGAGGAACACCGGUGGCGAAGGCGGCCUGCUGGACUGCAACUGACGUUGAGGCCCGAAAGCGUGGGGAGCAAACAGGAUUAGAUACCCGUGUACA